CUCCCACCUCCAUAUAUAUAUACUCCCCAUGUCCGGCUUGUCCAAUUUUUUGGCAAAAUCUCACGCUCCCGUGCCCUGGAACUCCCGAUCGGAUCUCGCCGGAGUUCCGCCGCAGAAGCUCCUUCGCCGGUUGUUUCCGUCGACGCAGAAGGGGAGUACUAGAAUGAGUGCUAGGACCUCCGCCCGAAGCAGAAGCUGCCGUCGCCGCUCCAGCCGGACCUCACCGACGUUAGCAGAAGCCCCGGCCGUUUUUGAGGACUGUUUCGAGUUCGCCGCCACUCUGCGCUCUUCGUCCCUUCAUCCUCGAGCUAGGCAGGCCUCUCCAGCGAGCGUACGCUCCAAGUCCGAGCCGCACAACACCGUCUUCCUCAACUCCGGCGGCCACCGAGCCCUCCUUCUCCGAUUGUUCGGAGUGUGAAGCGGAUCGGAAUUAAGCGUUAGAGUACUUCAACACCGUUCAAGG